CUACUGCAAUCCUCGUCAGUGGUCUAAAGGACUCAUGUUCCACGAGUACCGAUACAUACCUGAAUCGUUCACGGAACUGAUUAAGAACAUCCGGGCACAAAAUGCGCAGUUGAAGGUUCCACGUGUCAGUCUGCAUUCGCGCUGAAGGAGCAAACACCAAGCUUCACAUUACCCAAUGAAUGAUGAAGGUUCUGAAAACAUACAGAGAAGAAGAGAGGAAGCAGGAUUAUGAAGAGAACUUGGGAAACUAUGUAUCUGUCCAACUAUAUGAUUAUAUUGGAAAAGGAAGAUCCAACCUCAGUUUGUCACCUCAUGUUAAUUCCCGAAUAACAUGUUCCAGAGUUGUCUUCUAAACGAGAACCGCAUUGAAACUCUGACUAUUUUUUUUAUUUUGAGAAACUACGGGCCCGAGGCCUUCAUCUUCAUGUAACUGUU